UCAAGCUACAAAGGGCACAGGGUGAAUGCCUUGGCACUGGGAGCCGACGAAAGACGUGAUAAGCUGCGAAAAGCCACGGGGAGCUGCAAAUAAGCCUUGAUCCGUGGAUAUCUGAAUGGAGCAAUCCGGCGGAUGUAACGAUCCGUCAUGGCAUACUGAAUCCAUAGGUAUGUCAGGGGAACCGCCUGAACUGAAACAUCUAAGUAGGGCGAGGAAGAGAAAUCAACCGAGAUUCCGUAAGUAGUGGCGAGCGAAAGCGGAAGAGGCCAAACCGCAUGCAGCAAUGUGUGCGGGGUUGCGGACUGCAUAAGGUAUGUUGAAGUCUAGCUGAACUGUAUGGGAAGGCAGACCGGAGAGCGUGAGAGUCGCGUAAGCGAAAGACAGAGACAGCCGGCAGGAUCCAGAGUACCGCGGGACACGUGAAACCCCGUGGGAAGCCGGGGGGACCACCCUCCAAGCCUAAAUACUCCCCAGUGACCGAUAGAGAAUAGUACUGUGAAGGAAAGGUGAAAAGCACCCCGGGAGGGGAGUGAAAUAGCACCUGAAACCCUGCGCCUACAAGCACAUAGAGCACGUCAAAGUGUGAUAUGGUACCUUUUGUAGAAUGGUCCGGCGAGCGUAUGUAUGCAGCAAGGUUAAGCGCUUAAGGCGUGGAGCCGAAGGGAAACCGAGUCUGAAUAGGGCGUGAAGUUGCAUGCAUAGGGCCCGAAACCGGGUGACCUAUCCAUGUCCAGGUUGAAGUGGGAGUAAAAUCCCAUGGAGGACCGAACCGACCUCCGUUGAAAAGGCGGCGGAUGAGGUGUGGAUAGCGGAGAAAUUCCAAUCGAACCCGGAGAUAGCUGGUUCUCCCCGAAAUAGCUUUAGGGCUAGCGUUGUAUUAGAUUACCGGAGGUAAAGCACUGAAUGGGCUAGGGGCCGAGAGGUUACUGAACCCUAUCAAACUCUGAAUGCCGGAUAAUUGAUGUACAGCAGUCAGACUACGUGAGAUAAGUCUCGUGGUCGAGAGGGAAAAAGCCCAGACCCACAGCUAAGGUCCCAAAUACACGUUAAGUGGAAAAGGAUGUGGAGUUGCACAGACAACCAGGAUGUUGGCUUAGAAGCAGCCACUCAUUAAAAGAGUGCGUAAUAGCUCACUGGUCGAGUGACUCUGCGCCGAAAAUUCAACGGGGCUAAACGUGUAACCGAAGCUUGGGAUUUCAUUCACUGAACAAUGCUUUUUGUCAGGCAGGAGGGAAAGAUUUGCUGCCGAAGGCAGCUAAAUUCCCAAAAGCAAACGAGAGAGAAAGUAUUGGUCAGUGAAUGAAAUGGUAGGGGAGCGUCGUAUACGGGGUGAAGUAUGAGCGAAAGCGCAUGUGGACUGUAUACGAGUGAGAAUGCCGGAAUGAGUAGCGAGAAAUAUGUGAGAAUCAUAUUGGCCGAAAGUCUAAGGUUUCCGGAGGAAGGUUCGUCCGCUCCGGGUAAGCCGGGAGCUAAGGUGAGGCCGGAAGGCGUAGCCGAUGCACAUACGGUAGAGAUUCCGUAGCUGCCGGAGGAUUUAAGCAGAGGGACACUGUCAAAGGGUAUGACCCGGGCGUUGGUAGCCCCGGGCGAAAGGGACUGAAAUAUAGUAGGGAAGCAUACUUGGCGGCAGGCGAGAAAAGCUCUGUGAAUAUCUGAGGCACCCGUACCGCAAACCGACACAGGUAGACAGGAAGAGAAUUCUAAGGCCAACGGGAGAAGGGUUGUUAAGGAACUCGGCAAGUUGACCCCGUAACUUAGGGAAAAGGGGUGCUCCUGAAAGGGAGCCGCAGAGAAUAGGUCCAGGCGACUGUUUAGCAAAAACACAGCUCUAUGCUAAAUCGAAAGAUGACGUAUAUGGGGUGACACCUGCCCGGUGCCGGAAGGUUAAGAGGAGGAGUGAGAGCUCUGAAUUGAAGCCCCGGUAAACGGCGGCCGUAACUAUAACGGUCCUAAGGUAGCGAAAUUCCUUGUCAGGUAAGUUCUGACCCGCACGAAUGGCGUAACGAUUUGGGCACUGUCUCAACAGCCCGCCCGGCGAAAUUGUAGUACCGGUGAAGAUGCCGGUUACCCGCGACAAGACG
rnacentral:rRNA from 1 species